ACUUGGCAGUUGCCCACUCCUGCGCGGACUACCCCGAGAGCCCUUCUAAGGAGUUGUCUGCCUUCCUACUGGCUCUGCAGCCCUCCAAGGCAGGGCCCGGAUCCUGUGUGGCCUGGUCAUACAGUGCUGCCGAAACAUGCAGUCGAGAGCAAGGACUCUGGAGUCAGGCGAGGUUCGAAUCCUUGCAACUACUACUCACCAGUCAAGGGACCUGAAAUAUGUCUAAGCUUCAUUGAAAUGAAGAUAACAAUUGUAUCCAUCUCGUAGGUCAUUAUCCACUUUUGUGAAGAUUAAAGGAGAUACAUGUGAGGAGUUUAGUAUAGUGAGCAGAUGACAGAGGCUCCCUAAAUUCUUUUGAGUGAAUAAAUGCCAGGAUGAAGUAUUGGAAAGCACCCCACUUCAAAGGCCCUAAAUUUGUUUUGUUGAUAAUACAGUGUACAUGCAAAAGAGACUCAAUCACUUCCACAGCCAGAAACUUUCAAUGACUUCCCUUUGCCCUGAGGUUAUAAUGCAGUCUUCUCAACACAGCUCUCAAGGUCCUUUCUACGCUGAGCUCUGUCUGCUUCUCCAGCUUGGCUGCCCUACACACACACACACACACACACACACACACAUACACACACUACUGCUUCAUUUCUCUUUGUCAUGGCUCUACUCUCCCCUCUGCCUAAAAUGCUCAUCUUGCCCCUUUGUCCCAGUUUUGGUGCUUUUCCUAAUAUACACUUACCCUUAUAUACAUUUAACAUACUCUUCUCAUCUGUUUACAUGUCUUUCUUGAUAGAGGACUGGGCCAUUAUUUUACAGCCAUUAGAGUAAGGACUGACAAGGUGAAUAAAAUAUUUGUGUUGAAUGAAUGCAUGUGGUGUGGAGGCAACAACUAGAGGGCCAGCAUGGGCUGGGAUGGGGAAACUGAUGCCAAAGUGGUUGUCAGUGGCUCACUCCCAAAAAUUACUGAGCUCGCUGGAUGUGAAAACUGACCUUACCCCACCCCAACCAUGAGCUGCUUCUGUGCAACUAACGUGAAUUCCCCAGGGUCUCUGGUCUCCCGCAGGUGUUUUUCUGAGUCUCCAGGGACAGGAUCUUCUGAGUCCUCAGGCAUGAGAUGCCCAGCUUGGAAAGGGAGUAAACCAAUAUAAACCGUACUGAGGGAAUAAAAACCAUGGACUGGUUGCAAGAGGUUGCCACAUACACUGACUUUCUCAGAUCCUGUAAAAUGAAGGAACCCAGGCCCAGUCAUAAAGACAAAAUUCCCAGCCCCAAGUCUUCCCGUUACCCGAUUAUCCGGACCGGACGCGAGGUCCAGGCCCGGCCCUGCGAAGAGGUUCCUGGGAGAAGAGGACCAAGUCGUCGCCACUGCCCCAUCGUCGAGGAGAAAAAGGAGGAG